ensembl:misc_RNA 7SK 7SK RNA
GGGUGGGACAGUGAUAUGGCUGAUAUCUGUCAUCCCAUUGACCACCAGGGUUGAUCUGGCUGAACUGGCUGGCUAGGUGGGUGUCCUUGUCUUCCCUCACCACUCCGUGUGCAUCCCUUUUGAAGCUGCAUGCUCGGCCAAGGAGGAUCUUCCCCGAUAGAGGAGGACCAUUCUUUGGUCAGGGGUAUAUGAGUAGCUGCAUUGUCUGACAGAACUGCCAAACAAGCUCUCAAAAUGCUCCUACUUUUCCUGAAAUGGGUGGUAACUUAGUGCUUAUAGAUAGGAACUGCUUUC